GGUUGCUAUCAUACCAGCACUAAUGCACCGGAUCCCAUCAGAACUCCGCAGUUAAGCGUGCUUGGGCGAGAGUAGUAUUAGGAUGGGUGACCCCUGGGAAGUCCUCGUGUUGCAACCC
rnacentral:rRNA from 1 species